GUAAAUGUGAAAACCAAAGGGAUGGAGUGAGAAUAUAGAGUGAGAGGGAGUGGGGGGCUCUUAAGUCCGUUUGUUCUGGGCUUGAAUCCCACCUGUGGAAUUUACAUAUAGCAUGUGACCCUCAGCCUCAGCUUACACUCUCUAAAAUGGGGGUGGUAGGCUCUGUCUCGCAGGGUUAUGAAGAAUCAAGGAAACGGUGUUUGCACGAGAGCUAGCAGUGGCAGAACACAGAAUGCCGUCUUCAAACUCAAAGAGGCUCCAAAAAUAAGGAUCUGAAUAGGAUAGUGAGGGGCCUAGAAAUGCCCUGUGAGGAAAGGAGUAAGAGACCCAGUCUCUGAAGAGUGGCCACAGAGGAGGGAGGACUGACGUGAAGCCAUCUGAAGAGUGGCCACCGAGGAGGGAGGACCGACGUGAAGCCAUCUGAAGAGUGGCCACGGAGGAGGGAGGACCGACAUGAAUCCAUGUGAAGAGUGGCCACUGAGGAGGGAGGACCGACAUGAAUCCAUGUGAAGAGUGGCCACUGAGGAGGGAGGACCGACGUGAAGCCAUCUGAAGAGUGGCCACGGAGGAGGGAGGACUGACGUGAAUCCAUCUGAAGAGUGGCCACGGAGGAGGGAGGACUGACGUGAAUCCAUCUGAAGAGUGGCCACGGAGGAGGGAGGACUGACGUGAAUCCAUCUGAAGAGUGGCCACGGAGGAGGGAGAACCGACAUGAAGCCAUCUGAAGAGUGGCCACGGAGGAGGGAGGACCGACAUGAAGCCAUCUGAAGAGUGGCCACGGAGGAGGGAGGACCGACAUGAAGCCAUCUGAAGAGUGGCCACGGAGGAGGGAGGACUGACGUGAAUCCAUCUGAAGAGUGACCAUGGAGCAGGGAGGACCGAUGUGAAGCCAUCUGAAGAGUGACCAUGGAGGAGGGAGGACUGACGUGAAUCCAGCAUGUGAGCCCGGGAGAUGGCACAUCCAGAACCAGUGGGUGCAAGGCCCAGGGCAGCCGAAGUCUUCUCCACCUAAGGGGUUUCGGCAGAGUUGUCUAAAACUCAAUACUCCGCCUUACUACAGACCGUGUUCCCCACCAGAAGAACUGAGCUCACUUACGCAGUCAACAAAUACCACCUAUGGGCUGUCCCCACUUGGAUGUUGGCUGGGCUCCACAACUUCAUAGGUCCUGAACAAGAUGCUUGAUUUCCCUCUUCGAACCUGUCUUCCUCACUGCAGUCUGUGCUACGACCAUCCACUCCAUAGCGGAAGCCCAAACCCGCUAGUAGCCUCAAUUUCUUCCCUCGCCUCGUAUCACACCCCUCCCAUCCCAUUCAUGAACAAACUCUAUAGAUUCUCUCUCCAGAUAUGUCUCACAUCCCUCCACUUCUUUUGUCUCUGCAGCCCUCAGUGCAAGCGCCUGCCCCCUCCCACCUGGCUUCCUGCAGGAACCACCCAGCUUGCCUCCUUGCUUCCUGUCUCACUCCACCUAGUCC
rnacentral:lncRNA from 10 species